rnacentral:rRNA from 1 species
UCGGGAAUUUUGGGCAAUGGGGGAAACCCUGACCCAGCAACGCCGCGUGAAGGAUGAAGUAUUUCGGUAUGUAAACUUCGAAAGAAUAGGAAGAAUAAAUGACGGUACUAUUUAUAAGGUCCGGCUAACUACGUGCCAGCAGCCGCGGUAAUACGUAGGGACCAAGCGUUGUUCGGAUUUACUGGGCGUAAAGGGCGCGUAGGCGGCAUGACAAGUCACUUGUGAAAUCUCUGGGCUUAACCCAGAACGGCCAAGUGAUACUGUCGCGCUAGAGUGCAGAAGGGGCAAUCGGAAUUCUUGGUGUAGCGGUGAAAUGCGUAGAUAUCAAGAGGAACACCUGAGGUGAAGACGGGUUGCUGGGCUGACACUGACGCCGAGGCGCGAAAGCCAGGGGAGCAAACGGGAUUAGAUACCCGAGUAGUCCCUGAGCGGGCUGGCAAGGCG